AUUCUCUUUUUCUAGACUCUACUACUUCUUUCUCUUCUUCGUUCUCGUCUUUCUCUUCACAUUCCCAUCAUUGUUUUUUCUUUUAAAUCUGAAGCUUUAAUCCAUGGCAGCUGGCUGAAAAAAAAAUCCAUGGCAGCUAUGACUGAAAAUCUCCAUCAACUUAAUCCGCCUUUAAUGAGUUUACAGCGUGAGUGAAAAUGUUAGAAACGGAUUCAUCACCCUCAGGGAAUAUGACGGGCGGAGAACGUCGUUGCUGUCACGGUUCCAUCACAGUCGCAGCCGCAGCCGCUCAACCAGCGGCUCAUAUUUUUGCGAAAACCCUAAUAUUUUAUUGGGUUGGGCUAUAUUAAUUGUAUGUUUGGGUUUUUGUUAACUGUAUUUUGGGCCUCUUAUUGUAUUUGUAAUGGUUUUUAGUCAGAUUUUGAUUUUGUGAUAGAGUAAAUUUUCAUAUUUUUAA